AUGAGGCACAGGAUGAGCAGGGCGAAGGCGACGGUCAGCAGUCGCCGGGCCAGCCCGGAGCAGCGGCGCGCGGUCCGGGCGGGUUUGGGCAGGUCCUGCGGGCGCGGGGAGGGAGAGAGCAUAGAGCACGGGCAGGCUGAGGCCCCAGGCGCUUCUGGGGACAGCGCCCAGGCUGGGUGGGAGGUGUCCCAGCUUUCCUACAGAACAUUUCCCCGGGAGGAAGAUAUUUUUACUAGAGAUACUAGAAAGACAUUUUUAUUGGUGAGGGCGAUUGUGGCAAACCGGUGUCCAGGGGAAAGCCGGAUUUCAUCCGUCCUGAUAACGAGUUAUUUUUCACAUUUUUAUCUUCCCUUAAAUGCACUAGCUCUAGACACAGUGGAGUGUGGCAGGAUUCCCUCUUCCGUCUUAGUGACACAUGAAGUCAAGAUCGUCUCACAACGCAAGGGACUGGAAGGGUGAGGAAACUGAGGCCCAGCGAGGUGAACUCUCUUGCCCAGGGCCGCUCAGGUGAGUACCUAGAGGAGUACCUGAGGCUUCAGACUCAGACAGCGAGGCUCCAGCGCUGCCCUCUCCCUGCCUCCGACCCCCUGACGCAGCUUCCCGGCUGAGUUAAAUGAGUCUUCCGGACCCACAGGUGACAUGGCCACGGAGCCCAUUAAGCCGCCCUUGGAACGCAGUGGGGACCGAAAUUUUUCUUCUGUUUAGUUUUAAUUAAGAAAUUAAAACGGACACUCCAGCUAUCGGCAAGCGUUUAUAGUACAUAGGUUUAGAAUGAAUUCAGUGUACGAAGCUUCUGUUUCACAACUAUAAAUUUUACAAAACUGAAGCCCAGAUUAAGUAUUUCCCACGAAAAUGUAGGCUCUCCUUGGCAGUGCUGUGCGUACACACCGGACUUUGAGCCUGAGUCCGAGAAUGUAAAAUAUCUCAUUCAUAGUUUUGUAUAGAUUACUCAUGGAAACUAUCAUAUUUUCAAUAAAUAGCAAAGGUCGGAAUGUUAAGGCCUGCGAUAGCCUGCAAGAUAAUAGCUUUUUAUAUUUUCAUACGGUUAAAAAAGCCUAAAGGAAAAUAAUAGUUUGUAACACAUGAAAAUUAUAUAUGUAUAUAUAUAUAUUUUUUUUUGUGGUACCAGGGAUCAAACUCCCUUGUGAGGCAGGCACCAUGCACUGAGCUAAAUAUCCAGCCCUUUAAACCAAAUUUUAUUGGCACACCACUGCUCUCCUCUGUGUAUGCAUUGUCUACUGCAUCAAAGUCGAGAAAAGAGAGAUCAGAGAUCAUAAGACCCCCACAUUCUCAAGUAUUUAUUAUCUGGACUUUCACAGAGAAUGGUUUCCGACUCCUAACACAUUGGGUUAAACAACAGAUACAUUAUUAAAAUUAAUUUCACCUGUUUUCACUUUUUCAAAUUUUUAAAUCAUAUCUGUGGCCCAUGUGCUGCCUCUGUAGGACAGAGGUGAGGUGAGGUAGAGCAUUUAGGAUUUGUUUUUACAGGACACUGUGCUGCCCAUGCUGACCUCACACUUGCAGUCCUCCUGCCUCAGCUUCCUGAGCAGCCUGGACUACAGGCAUGUGAUACCCAGUUUGAGGUAGAGAACUUAAUUGCUCAGUAAUGAUUAUUCUUUCUUUUAGAAUUUUGUUUCUCGGUCCUUUUACCCCAAACCUGGCCUUUCCCAAGCUCACGGUGGUGGCCCAGUUCAUACUGAUGGACCCACAUACCCAUCCAUGUUCCCCCCCCCACACACACACGUGUGCUCACAUGUGACGGGGCACACAGACUAAAAACAUUCGUUUUCUACCACACAGCCACUGACACCUUCUCUCAGAUCACAUGACCUGGUGGCGCCACAUCAGCCACACAGGUGAGCCUGCUCACACCCACUAUACACCAUCCACGUGGACACACGGCCUUCAUGAGGAAGGAGCAGCAUGGAUAAGAGGUGUGCACAUGACAACAAACUCAGUCACACCCCCCUCCCCCUGUGUCUGGGACGAAGACAAGCAGUAGUUAACAUUUCAGAUGAGAGGGCCGGGGAUUUAGCUCUGGUUCCACCGCCUGCCUCACAAGUGCAAGGUCCCGAGUUCAAUCCCGGGUACCAAAAAAACAAAAACAAGACAUUUCAGAUGAGAUCGGACCAUACGAAAUUGCCAUUUUUAUAGCUAAGGUGCAGCUGAACAUGGGCCAUUUCAUUUGGUUCAACUAAAUACUUUACUGAGUCCACAGUCAUGGGUGACAGGCAAAUACAGCUCUCUCCUGCCUUCUGCUUGCUUGCCCUCUCUUUCUGUCUCUGUGUCCCAGGGCGCACAGGCAGACUUACACGGAUUUAGAGCAAGGUAGACAUGUACGGGAGCGUGGACACGUCACAGCGCACAUCCAUGUACCUGCAUGGCGGCCCACAACACGGCAGUGACAGGCAGGAACCCACAUGCUCAGCCCCACACGCUCCGCGUCCCGCACACACCCGUCUCAGCCUCACUCGCAGGACACCCACGAAAUCACACCGCACGCACGUGGGUGCCGGCACGCGUGGCCACACACCUGGGUCAUCCUGCGGACUGGGUCGCUGCUCUGGCGCUCUGGAGUCUGUGGCCCAGAGCUGCAGCCCCGUCAUUUGAAGAGCGGAGGAGCUGACGUCAGGAGGAGCUGGCCA
rnacentral:lncRNA from 1 species